AAAUAAUCAAUCAAUCAUAAUGAAUCUUUGAGUCACAAAGGUAAGGAAUAUAUACUGUAAUGAAUACUGGGUCUUCUUGAAAGUUAUCUGUGGGGCUAUUGAGCAACUGUUAGAAUACCUAGAAUGUGUUAUUGUGUUUUCAGGGACUGAACACUACAAACAGAUCGCUUGCUGUGUAUAUACAUUAUACAAUCAGGCCGCAUGUGUACAUAUUGGCUCUGCAUGCAGUCACUGUAUUCAAAGAUUCAUUGUAUGUCCACGAAGAAUGAAAUUGCAACUGCUGUUGUUUGUCACUUUAAUGGCUAAUGGAUCUAGUGAUGACUGACUACAUGCAGUCAUAUCAUGCCUAUACUCUGAAAACUGUACAAAUGUUACCGUAUAGUAGGUAAUUUCGGUGCAAAAUUUCGUACAAACUGCCCUUUUUUCAUUUUCGUACAGCUCAGGAUAGUGACGUUGAACCUAUUGUGCCAAAAAAAUGUUGCAAUUUUAUUUUUCGGAGGUGCUCCACUGAUAAGAUGAAAAAUACAAACAUUUCCACCAUAUGAAAAUAACCCGCUAUACGGUAAUUGUCAUUGUGGUUGUCCAUUACCAAGAGUAGAACUUUUACCAAUUAUUUAUUGCACAUGCAAAAUUGUUCAGAACACUCUGCAGUGUAACACACAGUACACACACCACUCACAAUGUAUAGCCCUCAGUACACAAUAUAUAUUGGGGUAUGAGAUAAAGUAAACACCACCAUAAGAGAAAUAAGAAACCUUGUAUCUACAAGUCAUUCACUUUCAUUCAACGCCUACUCAGUUCAAAAAACUGUUGUGUUUGUGAGUUAACUAUGACAACAAAAGACGGGCAAAUGCAACACAUGAAAGUAUUACUACGUAACUAUAUAAUAAAGUCGACAAGUGUUAGCCUCUUCGCAGUACUUAAUAGAUCUGCUAGCAUUCACAAGUGUAUCAGAAUACUCAUGGCUAGUAUCUGCUUGGUAUUACUCACUAUUGUCCUAGUUGGACAAAUAGUCACGGACGGGCAAAGUAAGUGCUUCAGUAAUAAAGUAAUUUUAUGCUCUAUGAUUGUGCAGUGUGUAAUAAUGGAGCUGUAAAGCUAUCAGUAGCAGGAUAUUUCCUUCUGAAAGAAAAGUAUGUACAGUACUGCCAUGAUGGAGAAUGGCAUUGGCUGUGUACUGGUGGUGGAAGCUGGAUGAGAGUGGAGGCCAAUGUUGUGUGCAGUUAACUGGGACUCAGCGACCAAGGAGCUAACAUAGGAGGUGGUACAAUGCUAACAGCAGCUGAUCAACCACUAGCCUACUUUAUGUUUAGUGGCAGAUGUACUGGAGAGGAAAGUAACAUAGGAGAGUGCAAUAUUCAUACCAGCACAUGUAAUAAGAGUGCAGGAUGGGUAAGAUAUCAACCAGGUAAGAGCAUUAACUUUUGCAAAUCAAAGUUAAUACUGCAUGAGAUAAUUAUACAGCCAACUGUAACGGUGGAGACAUAAGACUGGUGGGUGGUUCCACUAACAGAGAGGGACGAGUGGACGUCUGUAUGCAGGGAUAUUGGGCAUCCAUCAGUUACAAUGAAGUGCUGGCAGGCACUGUAUGCAAAAUGUUAGGAUAGUACUAACUCUUCUAUUGACCCAAAAGCCAACUGUACAGUGACAGAUGAUGGUGCCACCCUGAAAACAAAACAAGACUGAUUAAAACUAAUUACACACACUAACAGAUGGCCAUGGGACUACUAUCCAGUGAAAACUUGGAUGGGCCAAGUCACUUCCAGCCCGAGCACUUGUACCCAGUUCCAAUGAACUAGAAGAAACCAGACCAGCAAUUUUAAUUGUUUCGUAUUAUUGAGCAGUGUCUCAGAGUGGAUUUGUACAAUAUUCACAGGCUCGACUAAACAUUGUGAUAGCACUAUUUGCAGUGGCACCGGGAGCAGUUAUUGGUGUUCUAGUGGUCCUACUCUAAUUGGUUGUGCUAUUGCUAGAAGGAGAAACACUAACGGCAGCUAAUGUGUAAAUCAGUUAUUGCCCACCUAUAUUUUAUGCUAACUAUAUAAUAGUGCAUGCAGUUCCACAGGCAGAGGAAUGAGUCGUACGUUCUUCGAGGCGUGAUAGAACACUGCCUAGUAUAUACUGUCCAGCUAAAAUGGAGAAUAAGAAACCUUGUGUCUACAAGUCAUUCACUUUCAUUCAACGCCUACUCAGUUUAGAGAACUGUUGUGUUUGUGGGUUAACUAUGACAACAAAAGACGGACAAAUGCAACACAUGAAAGUAAUUAUUACUACUAAAUUAACAACUUGCAGCAUUAUAUAGCUUGUGCACAGUACAUGUAGACUAUACUUAAAAAUUACUGCUUACAUUCACAUGCAAGAGUAUAAUUAUAGCUUGAAUAUUAGUCAUGGCGAAUAUUAUCUCAGCACUACUAGGUCUAGUCACUAUUGCUUUAGUUGGACAACUCUCUGCAAUAGCACAAAGCUGUAAUAGUGGACAUGUUCAACUGUCACAUAACACAACGGACAAUAGAAGCUACGUUCAGUACUGCAUCGAUAGUAUUUGGAGGACUCUGUGUACUAGAUCGUGGUCGCGUGUUGAAGCGAAUGUUGUAUGCAGACAGCUAUAGGCUACAGUGACCAAGGAGCCAUAAAAGGGAUGAUUGGCUUUGGUGACAUUAUGGGAAAGUUCUUCAUGUUCAACCAAUCUUGUGCUGGUGGGGAGAAUACAUUAGCAGAGUGUAAGCCAACAAAUACAUUGGAACACUGUCAUUUGAGUGAAAAAAACAGACAAGGAUGGGUAAAAUACAUUCCAGGUAACGUGAUUUUUAGUCUAAUCAUAAACUAAGCUAACUGUGCUGAUGGAGCCCUAAGACUGGUGGGUGGGUCCAACAUAAAACAAGGACAAGUGGAGGUGUGUCAGAACAAGCGAUGGGGUACAAUAUGCUACAACCAAGCACUAGCUGGACAUGUUUGCUCUCAGCUAGGAUUUCCAAGCCAAGGUAAGAAACUUAUUCACAGCAAAUUAAAACAAUUUUUGUAGGAGCAGCAGCGAAGGAAAUGAAUACAACUGGCCCACAAAUUAACUGUAACGUCGAUACCAACAAUAGGUUGAGCUGUGGGAACAUCACUGACAGUGGGUUAUGUGUUCGAGGUUUAGCCGUUGAGUGUCCAUCGUUCAGUGAUACAAUAGCUACCAGUGCACUAGGAUCAGUGAUUGGACUUUUGGUGCUAUACUGGAAGUAGGGACAGUUAUUGCGUGGGUGGAUUGUAGGAAAAGGCGCUUAAUUCCAACAAAACAAAGCUAACUUUGCAUCCUAUAAUUAUAUGCUAUAACAUGCAGAGUUUUAAUACAAGUGAAUGAGAGCUACACUGACACAGCUCCUAUAGAACCGAGCUACAGUUCACUAGGUCCUAACUACAAUACUGUGACUACAAGCGAUGAAGGAAUUGGUGACUAUGAUGUCAUUGAUCACAAAAAACAGAAACUGAAACCAGCCAACCCACCACCAGUGAAGGUUGAGGCCAGUAAGAGUGAAGUAGAUGAGUUCUUCAAUACAGAGGUUCAUAUGUACGUAGCUGUCAAUAAGAAGAAAAGGAAUAAUGCUGGGGGAGAAUGAGCCUUGCAACUACAGUUAUAUAUAGCUAUAGUGUGUAGAGACACACUUGCAGUCUGUCAUCAUAGUAGCUACAUAGUUAAUACAUAAUUAUACCUUUGUGUAUGCAUCAUAACACUGAUUGUACAACAGUAAUCACAAUUCACAGUUGAAUCAUGAGGUGAAAACAAUCAAAGAAUUAAUGAAUACUGGGUCUUCUUGAAAGUUAUCUCUAGGGCUAUUGAGCAACUGUUAGAAUUCUUAGAAUAUGUUUUUGUUUUCAGGGACUGAACACUAGUAUCACUUGCUGUGUACAGAAUAAGCUCCAUUGGCUAUGCAGUCACUGUACUCAAGAACUUAUUGUAAAACGCUUUUUUUCAGUCAAAAAACUGUUGUACAUAAUCCAAAAGCUCGAUUACAUUUUGCUACCAUUGUAUAGGUACGGCUUGUAUCCAUGGUGAUGUCCGUAUAUAUAUGCAGAGUGGACCAGAGGACUGGGUAACUGCCUGGAGUGUUUCAGGUCUGUGUUAAUGGAGUGGAGAAGGGCAUGCAGGAAAUCAGCCUCACUGUACAACUCACACUGCUAGUAUCUAUAAGCUGACUAUACAUUAGCCUUCUUCACCGGCCUUCACGGUGUAGAGUUGUUCCUGUACUGAAGGGAGGCAACCCCGCUCAUGUUAGCAACUAUAGACCAAUUUCG